UGUGGGAAGGCACACAGACUGAAUACAAACAGAAACCCGGCUUCUCCUUCCAGCCUUGCAGGCCAGGCUGUGGCGGGGCCUGCGGAAUGAUUAACAGUACCAGCCCAUGAAUGCACUCCACACACAGACAGGGAGCAGAGGCCGCAGCAGAAAUCACUAGGAGCGAGAAUCCACAGAGCAAAGAGUGAGUGGGUACAACAGCUUCCUACUUGGUAUAGCAGAAGGCACAACAAUACCUUCUCCUCAGCAAGUCACAGAGUGGAGACCACGUGAUUGAGACCUCACUUGUCACCUGGAUGAAACAGCAGGAUUCUCCACCAGUGUUGCAUGGUGGGAAGAAUGGAGAGAAUAAUGCUUCGUGGACACUGUAUACAUGAAGAUGCUAUGGAAGUCAGAGCCUGGUGUCUCUAAAUAAAGUUUUAUUGGAACACGGCAGUGGCCAUUUGCUUUCACAGCACCUAUGGCUGCUCACACACUGAAAGGCCAGAGCUGAGUCGCUGGCAUUCAGACCAGAUGGCCACAAAUCCUAAAGUAGUUGCCACCUCCCCUGUCCUUUACAGAGAAAGUGGUGGGCCCUAUUCCAGAGCAGGUAAACAGGCAACACCCAGGGCACUGUGAAGCCAUGGCUGGACCAGAGCAAUGUGAACGUUGACAGACUUUUUAUUAGCAAACUUUAAAAUGUAACAAUAUUUCAGUAUAGUGCUUUGCAUGACUACCAUUUGAAACAGAGUCUUGAUUUUUACUAUGUAUCCCAGGCUGGCCUGGAACUCAUCAAAUAGCCUGGGCUAGCCUUGAGCAUACAGUCCUUCUGCCUCUCCUUCCCAAUGCUAGAAAGAAUAGAACUCUUUUUUUUUUAAUGGCAUAACAUUUUGCCAAAUUGGAAUUAAAAGUUAGUGUCUCUAUCAUCAAAUCAAUUACAAAUGUUUAUUUGUUAAAACAAAACAUUGUCAGUGGAAGAUCCUUAGCCAAUGGGCUGUUUGGUUGCCAACUCUUACUGUGAGACAAGGAGGACGUUGGCUGUGAUUUUAUGAUUUUGUAUUUCAGUUCCUGGCCAGUGUAACUAUUAAGAAGUAUUUAAAAUUUUUUAAUUUUUUUUAAUUUGAUGUAGACAGUUGUAUAGUUUUCUCCUGCCUACCUCAAAGCUACCCAUUCAAGGGUGGCUAAACUACACACUGACUCUACUGAAGGGAUCUGAGAUCUCCAACGGAAGAAGGGCCAUGUCUAUCCAGUGCUUCGUCAGCACUGGGGCACCAGCCUACAUACAUGGAGCCUCACAGCUGAUGCAGUCUCUAAAUAAAUCCUGCUGAGCAUGGAUGGAGGAAGAGUAGGGUUGUCAAGUAUGAUACAAAGACCUACGAAGCCCUGACUACGGGCAAUGCCUUAGAAGAGCAGAAAGGGAGAGAUGGGGCUGGAGUCUGAUGCUACUAAGCAGGUGGUAUUGGGUAGCAUCAAACUAGCAUACCUUUUCACUUGAUCCUAUAAACACAUUUUUUUAAAAACCUAAGGUAGAGAGCGUUCAGUCCUAUUUCUCAGUAGCAAAGAACCUUGCUCCCCCUGGAAUCAGACCUAAGUGGUUACCUAACUCAAAACCACAAAGAGGGGUUUUCUGCCUACAUCAUCCCAGGGGCCGAAAUGACGCUGCAGAUCAAGAUCCUGAUAAUGCAGCCAUCACACUUGUUAGAUCCUGAACUGUCAACACUCAAUUAAAAACACACAUGAGAGCAUUCACACCAGCAAAGGGAUAGAAAUCACUUAAGACAGAAGACCAGAGAAGCAGGGAAGGAAUAAUGGACCACCCAGGCAGAACCAGCUAGAGAUCAAGAAACCAUUGGAGCUUCAGGCCUCCCUGCAAGUCACCACCCACAGAGCCGGGGGCCAGGAGAUGGUCCCGGUGGAGUGGGCUCGGCUGAUCUUUGCCUGCCUACCCAACAAGGUGCAAGAUUAAAGGGCACUCAACAUGGUGUUUACAAAUAUCACCAGGAGGUAUCAUCUGAGUCCAGGUCAUACCACACCAUAUAGAUGAAACACCUCUCCCAUGCAGUUUGCUAAUUCAUACUUACCCUGCCCCUUCCUACUCUCAGACUUCCCCAACCCCAAAAUGCCUCUGCUGUGAUUCAAAUGUGGAGUGUUUCCCACUGGCUUGUGUGUUUGGAUGCCUGGUUCUCACCUGGUGCUGCUGUUUGGGAGACUGUAGAACCUUGUCUAAGCUGGAGGGAGUGGGUCACUGCCUCUAUCCCACUUCCUGCUCACUCUGCCUCCUGACAGCAAACACAGUGUGACCUGUGGCCCCAACUCCUGCUUCCUUGCCUUUCGGCCAUGAUGGAACAUCUAGCAGGCCUCUGGCUCCUGUCCUCAUGCCUUGCCUGCCUUGAUGGAAUGUGUCGCUCAGAUAUUAUUACAUGUGCAUAUUUAAUCAAGGCUGUGUAACUCCAGCACCAGUGAACAAUAUGGUUAAGAGAAUCAAGUUCUUAGCAGAGUGGCCAUGGUGUAGAAUGGGCUGCUUUUUCUCGGUUUCCCCAGCAAGGAUGCUGAGCUGAGCUCUACUAUUCUAGAUGCAAACCUGUCAAGAUGCAGAGCUACUCUCGGUGUCUCAAUCUCCAUUCAGUAAGACGGGAAUGAGCCACGGGCUUGGGACACUGAGGAAGGAAGGCCAACGGUCAGAGAGGCUUAAAGGAGGGACCGUGAGGUUGAUGUCUCCAUGUCAAAUGGAGUCCUUUGUGUGCCAAGCAGACUCUGUACAGGGCUCACCUAUUUUUUCUGUCCACACUUCUUCAUGGCACUUUUCAAGAAACAGAGACGCGGGUUUUCUGAGAUUUCCCACAUGCUACCAACAAUGUGCUGGGCCCCAAUCUGCCAGAGAGCCUCUUGGGCAGAAAGGAUAGCAGCGAGGAAAGCGCAAGUCAGCGGAAUAAGGGUACAAAUGGCUCGCUCUGCUCACAGCGGACCUGGAGAUGCAGUCUUUGCGUUAUUCACGGAACCCAUGAGACAGACAUUGACAACCCCUCCUCGCUUCAAUGCUAAGAAUGUUUCUAAAAUAAGCAUUAGCUCGGUAUGGACACAGGAAGUGGACGCUGUUCCCCAUCUCAGCGGCAGCUGCCGGGUACUCUGUUUACCUCUUCCGGUUGACUCCUGCAGAGAUGUCUGGAUGGAAUCUGGAGAAGGUUGAAAACAGGUGGGGAGUGAAGAAGCCUGAGUACAAGACCUGAGGGAACCUGAACUUCGAUGCGGGCACCGACAAGCCAAGGACCAUAGCCUCGGACUCAUGGGAAAAUGAUAAAGCCUUCCUCUGGUCCAUGUGAGGAUGCUGCUAGUGUGUGCAGAAAAUGUCCACCACGGCUUCCUGUUCCACCAGUAUUUACAACCCGAAGACAGCUCCCCUACAGAGACUACAAAAAGGCAGCUCACUCCCUACCUCCUAUGGCCAAUCCUGUACAAAUUCUAAGCACACACAAAAAUAAAUGUUAACAAUGUCUUCAAGCAAUGAAACAAUGUAAGGAGGGCAGCAGCUCGGUGGGGAAGGGGCUGGGACACGAUCUCAGCUCCAAGUCAGGUGGCUUUGGCAGCUCCAUCUUAGAGGGAAACCUAGACAUAGGUGGAAAGACUGGGAUGGGGGAAUGAAUAAACUGGGUUCUCCUGGGGCUUCAUUUCUACUGGAUCCUUUGGUUUUCUAAAACCCUUAUACCAAAGAAAGUGGACAGGAGUGGAAGGAAAAGGGCAAGAAGGAAAAAAUGAGGGGAGAGGAAAAUGGAGUGGGAGAGACAGGGGCAGGGAGAGGAUUGAGGUGGGGGGAUGGGCAUGGGAGGAGAGGAUAGGGUGGGGGAUGGGACAGCAAGAGAGAGGGAUGGGGGAGUAGGGGGAGGACGGGUAGGAGGAUGGGUUGGGAGGAGAUGGGAGGGGAAAGGAGAAGGGACACUGAAGGAGGGGGAGGGAGAAGGGGGCACUGAGGGAGGGGGAGGGGCAGGAGCAGGAGAUGGGGACAGCUAGGGUUGGGGGUGGGGAGAGGAAGAGGGGUUGGAAGUAGCAACCGUUAGGAUUAUUAUAGAGGUAGGAAAACCUGUGGGGUUAAGUGUAUCCUUGACACACCAUCACGGAGGGUAGAGAGUGGGGAUUUGACAUCCGUCCUGCAAGCUUCUGCUGCUCACACCUAAUCUGUAACAAGCAUGGGACUUGCUUCAAGCCCGGUGCAAAGGUGGGUCUGCUCAAAAACACAAAGAUGAAGCUACUACACCGAAUUCUUUAAAGGACCCACGGCUUUCUGAAACAUUGUUUAUACUGUUUUAAGACAUUUGAAGGAACUCCAGCUGAGGACAAAGGGAAAAAAAUAACAGAAAGAAAAGGAGAAUGAAAACUGGAAUUUUCCUGGCUGGGCCCAACCCUCUUUUCCCUGGCUGGCAGGAGAGGGGCUCCCUUCCUAGAGGGAAUGAAAGCAGAACCUGAGGAAUGCAGGCUGUGACUCUAGGCUGAGGAACCCACUUCCCUCUGUGGACAGGUACAAGGCUAGAGGAGUCCCCAACUCUGUCUUCUUCAGUCCCCUCCCCCUCCUGCCAAGUUGUAGGAAGAAGGCAGAGGACAGGAGGGAGCCAGGGCCCAGGCCUGUGAGGUCAGUUCCAAUGUGCCCACUCACCCUGUCACAAUGGAGGCUGCAGGCAGCAUGGGCUGCCCCGGAAGCACAAACCCUCCAAGACCCAGGGUUAGGUGACUGCAAAGGGCCUGGAAACGAUGUCCCCAGUGUUAGCCUUCACCCUGUGGGUCAGGCUCUGGAAGGAUUCAGGGCCUCUUCAUCAGCCACCAACACGCCCACCCGGGGCCUUGCUGCUCUGGGACAACUUGAGCCUUCCUUGCUCAGUCAAUGCUCCCAUGUCUGUGGUCUCAGCCCUGCUCCAAGUGAUGAACCAACUUCAUUGGGAAUGUCUGCUGAGGGCUCUCUGAGAAGCACCCUUGUUCCUCCAUAGAGGCCAGCUGUGAGCGAGAACGAGGGACAUUCAUUACUCAGGACAUUUGCCAACAAAGAGAGACAGCUGUUGGGCUCAAUGGCGUGUGGCUGCGCAUUGCCUUUAGUGAAGUUUAUUUUCUAAGUGGAAACACUGUUUCUUCCAGACUCCAUGAAACCGGGCCGGAGGUGUGUGUGUGUGUGUGUGUGUGUGUGUGUGUGUGUGUGUGUGUGUGUGUGAUGUUAAGACAGAGUCCUUGGUCGCUCACUAAUCAUGUAUUGCAUGAGGUGUCACAGGGACACACCAGCCCCCACUUUCAUACCUAUCUCUUAUCCCAACCCAAACCACUGCCACCUGUGAGCUUUGCCAAAUCCAGCCAAGGACCUCGCCUUCCCUUCUUCCUCCCCCCCAUGCACCCACAGCAGGGCUGGGCCUCCAUGCUCAGAACAGCCCCACAAAAGCUCCAAGUCUGGAGAGAGGAGACCCGUGGAGAACUUCACAGAAACUUCUAGACAUGGCUAAGGACAAAGCGAAUGCGACUGUGUCUCAAGCACCCUGCUAAUGCACAUUUUAAAAGUGGUAAAGCUAGCCUUGG